rnacentral:tRNA from 1 species
GCGCGCUUAGCUCAACUGGCAGAGCAAGACUUUCUUAAAGUCGAGGUUGUGGGUUCAACUCCCACAGCGCGCACCA